UCAAGCGAACAAGAGCGUAAGGUGAAUGCCUUGGCAUCAGGAGCCGAAGAAGGACGCGACAAGCUGCGAUAAGCUGCGGGGAGCUGCAAAUAAGCAUUGAUCCGCAGAUUUCCGAAUGUGGAAACACACACGGUGAAGAACCGUGUAGCGUAAACUGAAUACAUAGGUUUACGCGGGGAACCCCGGGAACUGAAACAUCUAAGUACCGGGAGGAAGAGAAAUCAACCGAGAUUCCGCGAGUAGUGGCGAGCGAAAGCGGAGGAGGCUAAACCGACAGUAGAAAUACGGUCGGGGUUCGGACUGUUGUAAGCGAGCGGAAGUUAGUCGAAUGGCAUGGGAAGGCCAGCCGGAGGGAGUGAGAGCCUCGUAGGCGAAAACGGAAGCGAGUGAACAGGAUCCAGAGUAUCAGCGGACACGAGAAAUCCGGUGAGAACGUGGGGGGACCACCCUCUAAGCCUAAAUACUACCUGAUGACCGAUAGUGGAGCAGUACUGUGAAGGAAAGGUGAAAAGAACCCCGGGAGGGGAGUGAAAGAGAACCUGAAACCUUAUGCUUACAAGCACACAGAGCCCCGUAUGCGGGUGAUGUGGUACUUUUUGUAGAACGGUCCGGCGAGUUAUGGUAUGCAGCGAGGUUAAGUGAUUCAGUCACGGAGCCGCAGGGAAACCGAGUGUGAACAGCACGUAGAGUUGCAUGUCAUAGACCCGAAACCGGGUGACCUAUCCAUGAGCAGGUUGAAGUCAGGGUAAAGCCUGAUGGAGGACCGAACCGACCCCCGUUGAAAAGUUGGCGGAUGACUUGUGGAUAGCGGAGAAAUUCCAAUCGAACCCGGAUAUAGCUGGUUCUCCCCGAAAUAGCUUUAGGGCUAGCCUCGAAUAUAUUUACCGGAGGUAAAGCACUGAAUGGUCGAGGGGUCGAGAGACUACCAACACCUAUCAAACUAAGAAUACCGGAUAAAUGAGUUCGGGAGUCAGACUACGUGAGAUAAGUCUCGUGGUCAAAAGGGAAACAGCCCAGACCCACAGCUAAGGUCCCCAAUGUAUGCUAAGUGGAAAACGAUGUGACAAUGCUAAGACAACUAGGAUGUUGGCUUAGAAGCAGCCACUCAUUCAAAGAGUGCGUAAUAGCUCACUAGUCGAGUGAUGUUGCGCGGAAAAUUCAACGGGGCUAAGCAUACAACCGAAGCUUGGGCAGUAGAAAUACUGGGUAGGGGAGCGUUCUGUACGGGCAGAAGCAUCAGCGGAAGCAGAUGCGGACUGUACAGAAGUGAGAAUGCCGGAAUGAGUAGCGAGAAUUGUGUGAGAAUCAUAAUGGCCGAAAAUCUAAGGUUUCCGGGGGUAGGGUCGUCCACCCCGGGUUAGCCGGGAGCUAAGGCGAGGCCGCGAGGCGUAGUCGAUGCACAAACGGUAGAGAUUCCGUUGCCGCCAGAUCUUAAGUAACUGACACGAGGGUAGAGUUCAACCCGGCCGAUGGUAGAGCCGGGCGAAAGGGACUGAAGAAUAGUAGGGAAGUGAACGAAGCCAGCGGCGAGAAAAGGUUAUGUAUGAAAUCAGGCGCCCGUACCGCAAACCGACACAGGUAGAUGAGGAGAGGAUCCUAAGGCCAGCGGGAGAAGGGUUGUUAAGGAACUCGGCAUAUUGACCCCGUAACUUCGGAAGAAGGGGUGCCUCCGUAAGGAGGCCGCAGUGAAAAGGCCCAGGCAACUGUUUAUCAAAAACACAGGUUUCUGCAAAAGCGAAAGCUGAAGUAUAGGAGCUGACGCCUGCCCGGUGCUGGAAGGUCAAGGGGAUCGCUUAGCGCAAGCGAAGGCGAGAACUUAAGCCCCAGUAAACGGCGGCCGUAACUAUAACGGUCCUAAGGUAGCGAAAUUCCUUGUCAGGUAAGUUCUG
rnacentral:rRNA from 1 species